GUAUGGUGACAAGAUAGUAACACUUGGACCUCCAUCUUUAGUACAUCGGGUCCUUACGAUAUUGCGUUUUCUGCUGAUACCCUGUAUUAUUGCAGCAUUGGUGACUAUCUGUCUAUGGCAACGGAAGCUCCCUCCUAAAAAGAACAAGCUGGGACCAUUACGCCAAACCUUGUGAAUUUUUUUCUUCUCCAUUAUCAAAAUAGACAUUACACUUUUUAUUCU